UAAAUGCGAUACGCAAUGUGAGUUGCAGAAUUCUGCGAGUCAUCAGAUCUUUGAAACGCAACCGGCGCUGGAGGGUUAUCCUUCCAGCAUGCUUGUUUCAGUGUCUAGAAACAUCAUAUAUCUUAAUGCGAUUGAUAGUAAAAUAUCUCUCAUGAAAUAUGUAAAUGUGGAUCUUUUGAUCCAACGAAGUAAUCGCAUUCUAAUAUGUGAUCUCGUUGGUAUAUUGAAAUUAUCCGUAAACAUUUAGUUUUAACGAAAAUAACUCUUCAAUAUGCAUCUGAAAUCAAGGUUACCCGCUGAACUUAA
rnacentral:misc_RNA from 1 species